UAGGGAAUUUUCCACAAUGGGCGCAAGCCUGAUGGAGCAACGCCGCGUGAGGGAUGAAUCAUUUCGGUGUGUAAACCUCUUUGGAGCGGGAAGAACGCCGUUUGGGUGAACAAUCCAGACGGGUGACGGUACCGCUAGAACAAGACACGGCUAACUUCGUGCCAGCAGCCGCGGUAAUACGAAGGUGUCAAACGUUGUCCGGAAUAACUGGGCGUAAAGGGCGCGUAGGCGGUCAGGUAAGUCAGAUGUGAAAGCUCUGGGCUCAACCCAGGAAUUGCAUUUGAAACUGCCAGACUUGAGUUCGGUAGAGGAGGGCGGAAUUCCAGGUGUAGCGGUGAAAUGCGUAGAUAUCUGGAGGAACACCCGUGGCGAAGGCGGCUCUCUGGUCCGAUACUGACGCUGAGGCGCGAAAGCUAGGGUAGCAAACAG
rnacentral:rRNA from 1 species